rnacentral:rRNA from 1 species
AUUGAACGCUGGCGGCAGGCCUAACACAUGCAAGUCGAACGCCCUAGCAAUAGGGAGUGGCGCACGGGUGAGUAACAUGUGGGAAUAUGCCUUUUGGUACGGAACAACGUUUGGAAACGAACGCUAAUACCGUAUGGUCCCUCCGGGGUAAAGAUUUAUCGCCAAAAGAUUAGCCCGCACUGGAUUAGCUAGUUGGUAAGGUAAUGGCUUACCAAAGCGACGAUCUAUAGCUGUUCUGAGAGGAAGAUCAGCCACACUGGGACUGAGACACGGCCCAGACUCCUACGGGAGGCAGCAGUUAGGAAUAUUGGACAAUGGGCGCAAGCCUGAUCCAGCCAUGCCGCGUGAGUGAUGAAGGCCUUCGGGUUGUAAAGCUCUUUAGCCGACGAAUAUAAUGACUGUAGUCGGAGAAUAAGCCCCGGCUAACUUCGUGCCAGCCGCCGCAGUAAAAC